GCUAGCAUAGCAUAGUGGUUUGUGUGAUGAACUACAACUCUGGAGAUUAGGGUUUGAAUCCCUGCUCAGCC